GAUAUGUUGGUAGGAGCCUUCAGCGACUUUCCAUGUAACGACAAUAUGGUCAGAGCCCUUAGAAGAUGGACGUAUAACUAGAUCGCCAACUUGCAUUUUCGACAGAUAUGCUUCGGCUUGAGAGGCAUUUAAAUCCUUAAAUAACGGGUGCUUAAUUACGCGAGCAACUCGUUGUUCAGCCUGUGUUUCGGCCUGCAUCCUCUCA